rnacentral:tRNA from 1 species
UCCUUAGUCUGGCGCCUUAGACCGCUCGGCCAUCUCGCC